CGUAGUAAGCCUAACUUAUUUAAAUCUUACAUUCUAUUCAUAAUUAUGGAUUCAGGCCCAAUAAUUUAUUUCACAAAUAUAUAUCCAAAGUACAACCCACAUAAUAAAUGUCUAUACUCUAUUUGAUCAUUUACAACCCAGUUGGAAUACAAUUGCGGAACUCUACCUGUACAUUUACUUCAUUAUUUUCUCAUUAACAGUCUUCUAUAAUUAAUGUUUCAACUCCAUAGGACUUUCUUCUAUUAC
rnacentral:lncRNA from 1 species